rnacentral:rRNA from 1 species
GAUGAACGCUGGCGGCGUGCCUAAUACAUGCAAGUCGAGCGAACGGACGAGAAGCUUGCUUCUCUGAUGUUAGCGGCGGACGGGUGAGUAACACGUGGAUAACCUACCUAUAAGACUGGGAUAACUUCGGGAAACCGGAGCUAAUACCGGAUAAUAUUUUGAACCGCAUGGUUCAAAAGUGAAAGACGGUCUUGCUGUCACUUAUAGAUGGAUCCGCGCUGCAUUAGCUAGUUGGUAAGGUAACGGCUUACCAAGGCAACGAUGCAUAGCCGACCUGAGAGGGUGAUCGGCCACACUGGAACGGAGACACGGUCAAGACGCCUACGGGAGGCAGCAGUAGGGAAUGUGCCGCAAUGGGCGAAAGCCUGACGGAGCAACGCCGCGUGAGUGAUGAAGGUCUUCGGAUCGUAAAACUCUGUUAUUAGGGAAGAACAUAUGUGUAAGUAACUGUGCACAGCUUGACGGUACCUAAUCAGAAAGCCACGGCUAACUACGUG